rnacentral:pre_miRNA from 1 species
AGCUUUGCGGGGUGGGCAGUCAGCCUCCGUGUGGCCGCUGUGCAAACCCAUGCAAAACUGA